AAUCGCUUCAGGGUGGGAGGAAGUGGAGGUAUUGAAACCAGCCACAAAAAUCCCAGCCAAAAAGCGGUCCAACAAAACUAGUUGGAGAGUGGAUGCUUUUUACUGGCCUGACGAUGCGGAAGUAGCAAAUGCACGGAAGUUUGGAGGAGAAACUUCAGAAUACGGGUUUGUUUUGAGAAGGGGGUCAGAGAGAGACGAGACUGGAAGAUGGACAAAGCCAUCAAAGAGGGACAGUUGUAUGUCUUGCUACUUAAAUUCGGCAAGAAACACUGGAAGAAGAAUUGGUUUGUCUUAUAUCCAGCCAGCCAGAAUGGGAUCUCCCGGUUGGAAUUCUAUGACAGCAAGGACGGGGCCAACUUGUCGGAGAAGCAGGCCACCAAAAAAAUGGACAAAAAGAUUAUCCGGCUGUCUGACUGCAUAAGCAUUGCGCACAUACCAAACGAAGUCUGUCCGAAGGAGUCCAUGUCUGCUUUCACCAUUGAAACAGCAGAGAAGCUGUACACCUUUGCUGCAGAGAAACAAACGAGUGCAGAUUGGGUCGAGAAACUCUGUGAAACUGCAUUUCCGACCCCUGAUCCCUGCUGUGGAGCAAACUCAAAACCUUUGGAGAUGGCAGAGAACAGUAUUUACUACUCUCGAUCUGAAGUGAAUGAGUUCUGGGUGACCGUGCAAAAGACAGAAGCAGCAGAGAGAUGUAACCUCCAUGGGACGUACAUUCUUAAAGCAGACAAGGAGAAGCUCACACUAAAAGAUACCAAAACUGAUCAAGUUCUCUUCAACUGGCCCUACAAGCUUCUGCGGCGGUAUGGAAGGGACAAGGUCAUGUUUUCAUUCGAGGCUGGGCGCAGAUGUGAUUCCGGUGCGGGGAACUUCACCUUUGAGACCAAGCAUGGCAAUGACAUCUUCCUGCUGGUGGAGAGCAGCAUCCUGGAGCAGAAGGCCCAGGCUGAGGGGAUCCGCCGAAGUCUCCCCCCGUCAGAGGCAGGAGACCACGCUGCCUUGAGCUCAGUGGAACGGAGCCCCGAAUGCUCAUCACUUGAUGCAUCUCUGGCCCUUUCCUCCGAGGUGUUGGUGGUGGUGGGCACCAGCAGUGGCGGUCCAGCGGGCAGCCCUGACCACAAAUCCGGUCUAACUGAGGGCCAGGCCGCACCCCACAGAAAGGAGCAGGCCCUGCCGCGGGGUGCGGAGGAGAAGGAGUUGUCCAAACUCCUCAAGAACCGGAGUCUGCCGGAGCCCCCGGCUGUGGGCCCUGUGACACCACCGAGGUCUCCCAAGAUGUCCGCGUCGAGCAGCGAUCCGGCCUCCGUCUACUCUGACCCCGUGGACGCCCUGACCAUCGGCAAGUGUGGCUCAGACUGCCUGUACUCCGAGCCAGUUGACAGCGUCCCGACGGGCAAGCCCCAGGAGCCUGCGGCAUGGAAGGGCUUCAAAGAAUGGAAAGCGCCAGGACAGAGGGCGGAGCCUCUGUACGCAGACAUUUACGAGCGGGUGAACCAGGAGUUCUCCCGGCUUGCCCCCGGCGCUGGCCCAGGGGAGGAGCAUAUCUAUGACGAGCCGGAGGGCCGGGCAUUCCAGCAGGCUCUGGAGGCCCGGGCCCCCUACCCCCUGCCCCCUUUCACUGCCAUCUACGACCAAGCCCAGCUAGCAGACUCGGCCGCUUGGAGAAGGAAGGGGUGUGUGGCAGGGCAUGCUGGGAAGGACGACCGCUCGGGCUCACCCCCACCGAGGGCCAUCGAGGCACCAGCUGCCAAACCAAAAAAGCCCAAGCCCUUGCCUGCACCGAAACCCACCAGCGGGCCGUUUGUAAAAGACAGGCGGGCAGACAUCAAGGAGUCGGGGAAGGAGCUAGUUAACCCUGAGCGGCCAGCGCUUAAAACCAAUUUCAACAGCUCGAAUAACUGCAUCUACAGUAAGGUUGUGAAGCCCAAGCGACUGGAGAAAGAAGUGUCAGUGGAUGAUGUCAACAUUAAGCCAGAGUCAAUUUACGAAGAUCUUGGGAACCUUUGAUAGAUUCAGUCAGCUUUUCUGGGUAUUUCUUUGUUUUGGCUCUUAAAACAAAUUGCAGUCCUUUGUUCACGUGUGUCUCUGUGUGUGCUGUUUCAAACAGGGAUACAAUAUUAUUACCUCAUCUUAUGAACAGCAAAGAUUAAACUAUGAUCAGUAUCAUUGGUAUUUCCUUGUGUUCAACUAAAUGGUGAAACUGAGAUAAAUUUUACAUACUGAGAUACAAAAGACUGCAGCUCUAGAAAAUGUUUUCAGAGUCAGGUACCAGAAUGGACAAAUUUCCUCUUCUCUAUAUUAAAUGUGAAAAGAGCCCUAAUGUGACGUCCCCUAGCUCAGUUCCUCUUGGGCUUGUAGCGGGAGAUCAACAGUCCAGUUUUCUUAGACACCCACUUGGCCCUGCUUCCUAGUUUUGGUGGACCACGUGGAACAAGGAUUUCUCAAUUCAUCCUGAGCGGAAACUUCAAACCGACCCCUGUUUACAAAUGAAACAAAAACUGAAGUUGCUGGAAAAGCUCAGCAGGUCUGGCAGCAUCUGUGGAGAGAAAACAAUUAAUGUUUUGGGUCUGAUGACCCUUCCUCAGAGCUGUUUACAAUGCUUCACCUGCCAUGUGGCGAGAUGUAGGAUGACUCUGUGUUAAGGGAUGGGUGAGAAGACGAGGAGAACAUACAAUAUUGGGGAAGCCUCUUGCAAAAGAUGGACAAGAUCAUGCCACAGAAGUAGAUGUUUCUUACACAUAAUAGAAGAGUGCCCAAAUGGUGGUACUGAAUCUGGAACACUUUUGUUUUUGUCACCAACUAUCUGUGGUGAAAGAGACCUCACCAAUAUAUGCUGUGAAGUUUACUUGUUUGAAUGAGAACUAUUAACUCUUCAUGAUGGACUGCUUGCCACACCUUCCUUUUAUAGUGGUCAUGUAGACACUUCUUUUAUUUCCUCGUUGUUAUUCCAGAGCCAUUAUUGUUUUCUGUUAUGUGUAUUGUGCUUUGAGGAUCUAUGGAAUCAUAUAGUCAUUCCGUAAAAUAUGUAUUGUUUUAUGAUCCUGCUUCACUGUAUGACUGCUCACGAAAACAAUUCAUUGCUGCAGGUAGGAGUAAAAACAAUAUGGGCAAGUGAUGGUUUUGUUCUUCUGUCUCUAAAUUCUGUUUCUUGCACCAGCGACUCCUUACCAAGUUGUUGCAGUUGGGAAAUUGGCUUGUGGGCACAGGAUCAAUAUCCCUCGAUUAUUGAGGGAGUUGAUGUUAUUUUCUUAACCACACAGUCUUCCUUUGGAGAAUAGUGCCAAGCGGCUGAAGGAGUUGCAGGUUGUUGGGCUAUAAUAUGAAUGCUCUUUCUGUGGCAAUGAGCACACAUUGACUAAAAGGUGGGACAUUUAGCCCUCGAGAUUGGAAGGGCGUCAUGAACUCUUGCAGUCCAUUUAACAAAGUGAAGAGGUCACUCAUUUCCACUCACUAGGUUUUCAUCUAGUAGGAACUGCACUCAGCCCCAGAACUGCAUCCAUUUGUCAGAGCUUUCUGGAGCAGUUCUCAGAGGUGGGAAUACAGACCUUGAGCCAAAUAUUUGCUGACUGAGGGAUUGGGAAGAGGGAGAUAAAAAUGGCAAUGUUCAUGUUUGUGACCAAAUAAACCUGUUGGAGGUUGACAGGAGCUGCCCACUGAUCCUGCUCCUGUAAAGUUAUAGGCCAAGCUUUGUAAUUACAAAAUACAUAUAGCAUAGAAAUGGACCAUUCAUUCAAUCAACUUAUUAUGCUCCAUGUAACCCUUUCCCUCCCAUCAAAUUAUCCUUUUAUUCCUUUCUACUCUUGUGUUUAUUUAACCUCCCCUUUGACUACUCCAUGGUUGCAUUCCAUAUUCUAACCAAACUUACUCAUGCCUAACGUUUUGUAGAUUUCUACCCAUCUUUGAACGAAUUGUCAGAACAUCAGAAGAGAAGUGUAGAACUGGCAAAUUUUGAAGUUCAGCCUUGAAUUCCAAAACUUACAGGUGAAGUAAAACUUGGGAGAGUAGUGAUGGAUAUCAGGUAGAUUGGUCAGGCAGAAUUAAUGCAGUAAUUAAUACAAAUUUAAUGCAGUAAAUAGAGAAGUUUUGGUUGAAAAAUAUGCAAUUUGGAAGGGGAUACAGGAACAUAGAGAGAGAGAGAGAGAAGCCUGGGGGGAAUUGACAUCAGUGAGAAAAGGUUAAAAGGGCAGAAAGAAUCCUGGACUUUACAAAUGGACAGGGAGUACAAAAGCAAGGAAGUUAUGGUGAACCCUUAGAAAACCCUGGCUGAACCUCAACUGCAGUGUUGGAGUAUCCUUGUUAAACGAGGUGAUCAAAGGGUAGGUGAGAAUGUUAGAUCAGCCAUGCACCUAAUGGUGCAAGAGACUUGAAGGGCUGAAUGGCCUACUCCUGGUUAACUUUUGGGAACUAUUUUGGGAAGAAUGUGAGGGCUAUAGAGAGGACAUGGAAAAUAUUCACGAGAAUGAUUCCAGGGAUGAGGAAUGUCCUUUUACAUGGAUAACAUGGAGAAGGUGGGGUCGCUAUCAUUGAAGCGUUCUGGCCUAAAUGUGACUGCACACCCACAGUAAUAUGGUUUACACCUACCUGCCUUCUGAAAUGCCCAAGAGCCACUCCGUUCAAUGAGAAUUAGAGAUAGGUAAUAAGUGCUGGGCUUGCCAGAAACACAAACAUCCCAUGUAAGAUUUUUAAAAAAAAUCUCUCUCUUCUAUUAAUGCACUUCUCCCAAACUACAUAUUUGACCAAACUUUUGGACACCUGUCAUAAUAUCUUCUCUUGCCAGUAUCAAAUUUUGGUUGAACGGCCCUGUGGAGUACCUUGGGGCCUUUUACUAAAGGUAGUGGUGCUGGGAAACAAAAUAUUCACCUUUUGGUCAUCUUGGACAGCUGAAACAGUUCCAGGUGUUUUGUGAUCUUUCCAGUAAAAGGUUUAAGAUUCAUUUGUCCAGUCAUUUGUGGAUAUAUGUUAUGAGUUUAUUUUGUCUGCUAUGGAAACCAUGGCUAGUUCCUAAGCAUGAGACAACAAAAUAAUUAAAGAUUUCCACUAUCAUUAAUUCUCUCUUGUUAAUCUUCACUGGCACCCUGUGCUGACAUUGCAUUUUCUUUUUUGCAAGGAAGAAAAUAAACUGCAAGAUUCUUGGGGAAAUACCAUUUUUUUUUUCAAACUUUUAAAUAUGAUUAAUCAAAGGUCAAUUUGCUUCCAAGGCAGUGCCUUGUAUUUAUCUAGUUAAUACCUGCAAAGGUUGAUCCCCAGCAGACUGUCAUCUUUGAGGAGAGAUGAUAAAGCCAUGGUUAUGUUUUCCAAUUUUAUUUUAUUAUCUUUCUCUUUUCCUGUCUGCCCUUGAGGGUGUUAGGUCGGGACUGCGGGUAAUUCAUUACUGGGGUGCCUUAGGUUGGGGUUAAACAAUGUGCUAUUAGUACUACAGCAGACAUUGUUUAACCCCAACCUAAGGCACCCCAGUAAUGAAUUACCCCAACACCCCAACAAGGGUUAAUGUGAUUGACGCUCCUGAUUCAAAGCAGAUAGUUUCUGGUAUUUAUUUUCAAUCAACAUAACUAAACCAGACCAUUGUCUCAUUGCUGUCUGUGGUAACUGCACCAUUCAAAUUGGUUUGCUCUAGUACCAUGAAGAUACUUCCAAAAAGUACUUCAGCUCUGAAAUGUUUUCUGAGAUGCUGAUGUUUUGGGAAGUGUUGUAUGUGUGCAAGUUCAAAAAGAAGAGGCUAAAAUUCUUGUUAAAGAAAGAACAUUUUUGGAUAGUUCAUUCCCAUAGUUGAUGCUGCAAGAGCUGGCUGUUUAAUAAUAAUAAUGUGAUAUAUUUAAAGCUUGUUAACUGAUCUGCUUAAGUUAUUUGAUAUCUGACAUUUUUAUACAGAUGUGUAAUAAUUUCUUGUAACAAAAAUACAUACUUUUAAAAUGUAAAUUGCUGAUUGACCAAUUAUAGUUAAAUGUAGUUUGUACAUCCAUCAUUUUAAAAUAGGUGACCAACAAGUACUUUGUGAUUAUCAGA